rnacentral:rRNA from 1 species
GAGCUUGCUCCUUUGACGUUAGCGGCGGACGGGUGAGUAACACGUGGGUAACCUACCUAUAAGACUGGAAUAACUCCGGGAAACCGGGGCUAAUGCCGGAUAACAUUUAGAACCGCAUGGUUCUAAAGUGAAAGAUGGUUUUGCUAUCACUUAUAGAUGGACCCGCGCCGUAUUAGCUAGUUGGUAAGGUAACGGCUUACCAAGGCAACGAUACGUAGCCGACCUGAGAGGGUGAUCGGCCACACUGGAACUGAGACACGGUCCAGACUCCUACGGGAGGCAGCAGUAGGGAAUCUUCCGCAAUGGGCGAAAGCCUGACGGAGCAACGCCGCGUGAGUGAUGAAGGUCUUCGGAUCGUAAAACUCUGUUAUUAGGGAAGAACAAAUGUGUAAGUAACUAUGCACGUCUUGACGGUACCUAAUCAGAAAGCCACGGCUAACUACGUGCCAGCAGCCGCGGUAAUACGUAGGUGGCAAGCGUUAUCCGGAAUUAUUGGGCGUAAAGCGCGCGUAGGCGGUUUCUUAAGUCUGAUGUGAAAGCCCACGGCUCAACCGUGGAGGG